GUUAGGAGUUACGGUAGUGGAAGUUUAAAAACUUAGUGGCGGACGGGUGAGUAACGCGUGGGUAACCUGCCUCAUACAGGGGGAUAACAGUUAGAAAUGACUGCUAAGACCGCAUAAUAUAGCGAAACCGCAUGAUUUUGCUAUCAAAUAUUUAUAGGUAUGAGAUGGGCCCGCGUCUGAUUAGCUAGUUGGUGGGGUAAAAGCCUACCAAGGCGACGAUCAGUAGCCGGCUUGAGAGAGUGACCGGCCACAUUGGGACUGAGACACGGCCCAAACUCCUACGGGAGGCAGCAGUGGGGAAUAUUGGACAAUGGGGGAAACCCUGAUCCAGCGAACCGCCGCGUGAGUGGAGAAGUAUUUCGGUAUGUAAAGCUCUAUCAGCAGGGAAGAUAAUGACAGUACCUGACUAAGAAGCCCCGGCUAACUACGUGCCAGCCGCAGC
rnacentral:rRNA from 1 species